ensembl:lncRNA
GCGGGGUCCAGCGCUUCGGCGUCGCGGCGUCAGGGGUUGGCGGGCUCGAGCAAACUGAGUAUUCUGAAAAGAACAUGGGGGCUGCCAUAUGUUGUGUCAUCUGAAUUCAAGUCAAGAGCCGGACUUCCAGGCCAAGGGAAACAGCAGGAAUUCAGGUAAAAGAAGAUGGUGGUGUUUGGAAGUAGUAAGUGGCUGGAGUAGGGAUGUGCAGAGGGGAGAAAGAGGAGAUGAGGCUAGAGUGGGUAGCCUAAGGGAUUAAUUGUCAAGCUGAAGUUUUAUAUUUUGGAGAAACCAUAUGGAUACAAGGUUUUUGAACUGGUGUCAGGGAAGAAGAGGAAUUAGUAAUGAAUUAGACUUUAGGAAAGUUGAUCUUUCCGUGGUAUUGUAGUGGUUAAAAGAGUCAUAUGCCCACAAAUUCACUGAAGCCUUAAGUGAUUGAGUUUCAUUCCCCUGUCCCUUGAGUAAGGGCUUGACUUAGUGAUUUGCUUUUAGUAAAUAGAAUAGAGCAGAAGUGAGGGGAUGUCACUUUGGAGAUUAGGUUAUAAAAAGACUAUAGGUUCAACCUUAAGUGUUCUUUCCCCCUCCUUUUUUCUUUUCAAAUUACUUGCUCUGGGUGAAGCUUUGAGAAGUCCUGAGACUACUCAGGCAACCAAGUGAGACUUUGCUGGUGGUCCCAUGGUUAAGACUCCAAGCUUCCACUGCAGGGAGAACUAAGGUCCCGCAGGCUGCACAGCAAGGCUGAAAAGAAAAAAGGAAACUGGAAAUACAUGAGACUGCCAAAAAGCAGCAGCAGAGAGUCAGAACAGAGAUAUGGAGAAGCCCCGUUAGGAGACAGGAGGAAAAAGAGCCUAUAAAAUCGAGAAAUCGUUUUUAUGUAAAAGUAAACCAAGAGGGUGCUUAGGAAUGGAGAAGUGAGGAUGUGUUAAUACCAGAAAUACUGAAGAACUUCUGGAAAGCCAUUUGUUGGGCAGUUAAGUCAUGGUGACCUUACGGAAAACAAUUUCAGUGAAAGGAUUAUGAGAGUUAUGAGUGAGAGAGGAAAAAAAUGGAACAUUGGUAUAUUUUAAACUUUUAUUUACCAUUAAGGAAGAUGAAAGUGAAAGUGAAGUCACUCAGUCAUGUCCGACUCUUUGCAACCCCAAGGACUGUAGCCUAACAGGUUCCUCCGUCCAUGGGAUUUUCCAGGCAAGAAUUCUGGAGUGGAUUGCCAUUUCCUUCUCCAGGGGAUCUUCCCAACCCAGAAAUUGAACCCAGGUCUCCCUCAUUGUAGGUAGACGCUUUACCAUCUGAGCCACCAGGGAAGCCCAGGCUAAGGCAGGUGAAGUAAGUGAAACUAUUUUUGUGUCCCAGGGAAUUCUUUAUAUCGCCAAUUCUCUUUACUAUCCAUGAUAACACAUAUAAUAGCACUUGGUUAUCUACCUCUCUGUCUUCCCUGGUAACUCAGUCGGUAGAAUCUGCC